AGCUUCUGAGCCGCAUGGAAGGAGUUUUCGCCCAGCACUCCCAUGCCAGCUGCUUAAAAAACCCCAGCAGGCAGCGUGGGGCCGCAGUGGCGGUUAUAAUGGGACAGGAGGAGGUGGCGGUUGCGUGCCCACACCCCGUGGUGAUGUGGGAAAGGGCAGCAGGAGCGGCCACUGCAGAGAGGGGAAAGGGCGCAGUGUUGUAACCGCGGGGAGGGCUCUGACGCAGCCCAGCAUUGCCGGCUCGCCCAGCCGGGGACGCGGCUCCGCGGAGCAGAGGCGGAGCCUUGGCCAUGGGAGUACCCAGGGACACAGCCAUCACUGGAGAUGCUGGAGGUGAACAGAGACUGUACAUCCCCGGACAGCGAGAGAAGGGCAGAGCUGGUGUGCCAGCAUACUGCCUGCACUGGUUGCCCUUUGGGCGCUGGCAGCAGCAUGCACAAACCCAGCAGCCCCCUGAACAGGGCUGGCUCCCUGGGCAGUGCUGAGCCUGGGGUAGCUUCCUGCUGAAAGCAGUCUGGUCCCUUCCCAAGGAGCUGCUCACAAGGAAUGCAUGGGGCUGGGAGGCUGAGCUCUGCCAUGGGGCAGCGGGCCGUCAGGAGGGGCCUGUGAGCAGUGCUGCCCCAUGGCACUGAGCCCUGUGGCUGUUCCCACACUUGGCCAGUGCUCAGGGCUGGCCUGGCCUGAGCUGGGAGCAGGGACAGCCAGCACUGGCAGAGGCGGCUCCCAGACAUCCCUCCCGGGUGACUCACGCCGUGAUCUGUGCAUGGAGUUUGGGGCACUGUGAGCCUCUUCCCUUUCUUUUCUCCCAAUAAAUCGGGGCUGCGGAGCUGGGGGGUGGCAGGUGGGGGAGCGUGGAGCGAGCAGAGGCUGUGGGUGCCCAUUUCCCAGCUGGGUGCGCUCAGGGGGGGCCAUGCCGGAUGCAGGGAGUCGUGCUGGAGCUGCACCAUCUGCUUCUUGUCAGGCUGCUGGGAGCACCGCGGCUCCAGGGCCGGCAGUGGGACAUGGCUGUGAUGGAUGGUGUGUUUAUCAUGCUCUAGCGCUACUCAGGAUGUUAGUGCUCGCCUGCAAGAGAUGUUUCUGUGCUCGGCUGCUCCCUCCAUCCUCUCCUCCUCCUUCUCUCCCCAGACCCUCUCCUUUGAGCCCACACGGGGGGGUGGGGGUGUCCGUCCCACAGCCUCCAGCCCUGCCUGUGGCUGAGCUCCCAGGACCAGCACUGAAGCCUUCCCACAGAGGAGCUGCAGGCUCCUCUGGUGAGGACAGGAAUGGAGACAGGGACAGGGCUCCGCAGGGCUUGCACAUGCUCCUCAUCCCCCGGGGGACAUAAAGGAACAGAGUGCAGGGAGAAUGUACUGUGUGAGACCUGCAUCCCACAUCACCUCGGGGGCGUCCUGGCCCCAUACUGUACAGCCACCCCAGCAGUCACAUCCAUGUGGUUUGAGACUACAGGCAGUGACUCCCCAGUGCUGGGCCAGGUUCCGGGUCCUACAGCCCCACAGACACACAGUUGGGAUGCGGCAGUGGGCGGUGUGCAGCCCUUCUCCAAGCACAGAGGUUUAUCUGUGCGAUGCUGCAGCCAGCCCAGCCCCAUCCCCCCCACCAGCCCCCAGCCUCAUCUAUCCUGCAGCCGCGAUGCCUGGCAGAACAGCCACACACAGCCAUGCGUGGCACAGCACGCAUCGAGAGCAGCUGGGGGCUCCUCCAUGUCUCCCAGCCCAAGGUGCAGUGCUGCAUCUCUGGUCAAUUGGGAGUCUGAGAUGAAGCACUGUAGCUCGGGAAGGGAGGAACUGUGCCCUGGGACCCCGCCACCCCCCGGACUGCCGCCUGCUGGGAGCACUGAUGCCAGCGGAACAUGGGAACUGCGCAGUGAGACGGGAGCACAGCUUGUGACUGGAUGUGGGGGUCUGCCCUGCAGCCCACCCCCCCCCCCCCCCCGCUGUCUCUGGGGCUGGGUCCCCAACUGAGGGAGAAGGGGCUCUCCCAGCCGUGUUUUUGGACACUGCCUCUGAUGGAGAAGCACAGAGAACGGAGCCUGCAGACACGCAGCGUGUCCCCCUGAAGAUCCCAUAGGGGCUGCUGACCCCCAGCCAUGGGGCAGGGCUCACCCCUCUGCUCUGUAUCCUGCGAGGGAAGGGCAGAGGAGGAGAGGUUUGCUUUGAGGCAGAGGAACACCCCUACGCCCGGUCAGGACUCCCAGAGCUCCCAGCUCUGUGGGGGGGGGGGGAGGGCACGAAUGCUGCGUGGGGACAGCUGGGUCACACACAGAGCGGCCAGAGGAGCAGCUGUGCAGGGCGGGGGCCGCUGGGAGCCGCGGUCGCCGUGCUCUCAGGGUCCAGUUUUCCCAGGAAUCCCUUAGGCGCUACGUUGGGGAUUCCUGGAAAUACUGUUCUUGGGGCCACGGCUCUGCACCUGGAGACAGCCCGACCCCGAGCGGAGCCGCAGCCCCGCGGGAGCCAGGGACGAGGUACGGGGCCGCGGCCGCGAGUGGGACCCCCCGGGCGGUCCCGAUGCGGGGCGGUGGAAGGACCGGCCCAGGAAACGCCCCCUCCCGCGGUGCCGGGGCAGACGGCCGACCCCUCGGUCACAGCCCCCUGCGGGCGGACGCCGCCCAGUGCCUUUCACGCCGCUACAGCCCUUCGGUGCCCUCCACGAAGGACGGGGCUGCACGCGCGUCACCGAGCCGCCCCUGUACCAAUAAAGCUCUCGACUCCAAGGAACCGUCGGAGCCGUUUCUCUGGGGCGGGGAGCAGCGCAGGACGCUGCGGGCCGAUGCCGGAACCGCCCGGCCGUGCAGCAAAGCCCGCGGUGCGCCGCGCUCUGCUCCGCUCCGCUCCGCGCAGGGCGGACUGCACCGUGCGGGAGGGAGAGGGGCCGGGAGCAGCGGGGCCGGCAGGUGGCGGUGCUGCCCCGGAGCACGCAGUGCGUUUCGAGUGCAGCUGGCGGAGGAGGGGUUAAAUGAUGCCAUGCGGUUUCUCUCUCACACACACACAAAUUAAAAAAAUACUGCACUUAGCGCAGGAAAUGCCAA